rnacentral:lncRNA from 1 species
UGGUUCCUUGGCUUGCAGCCACUUAUUUCAUCACAUGCCAGGACUAAAAGAUCCAAGAGGAGUAUGUUUACCAGCAACAUCGAAAUAAACAUAAGUUGCAUGAUUAUGUUCUUCAGCAUCUUUCACCUCGGUCUUCUUUAGUAUUUUAUAUUUUCCUUCUCCCCUAUAUUUUAUAUUUUCCUUCAAAGACUAGCAAAGUUGAGUCAUCAUUCAAAUUCCAAAAUUAUGCCGAGUCAUCAUCUAGGCAGUAUGCAUCCAGGCCCGAGCCAAUAGGGUUAUAGGUUAGUUUGGUCCGAAGAGUUUCCCUACGGAAAGGGAAAAUGACCUAUAUAUGAAAUCUUCACAUUCUAAGAGUUCUGGAAUUCAACAACAACAAAAAAA